rnacentral:lncRNA from 1 species
GUUAGCUUUCAAAGACACGGAGUUGGGAAAAGAAAGUGAAGCUGUUGUAAAACUUGCUCCUCAGCCUGUGAAGGAUUUGCUCUUUCUCUUUUCCUUCCAGUGUUCCUUGUAUGAAUCUAGAAGGAAAAGCAAGUCUUCUCCUUUCAGAUUUAAGGAAGGCAGUCCUCUUCUGGCUCUGUUUAGUCUAUAGUAUUUCCUUCUGGAAGGGAGAGGCUACAAAGAAGGAAUGAGGAAAGAAAUGCAUCUGGGCUUGUAUCCAAUUGGAUUACUGUCAACCUCUUCCAGCUGAGAAGGGAAAAGACAUGUAUUGAUGGUCACCGAAAUGAGAUGGAACAAAAGACAGCAACCUGAGCAGAGAAGAAAAGCACUACGCUUACCUUGGAGCAGUGAUGAAUUUCAGCUCAUUUGGCCCCACUCCUGGAAAACAUCCUCAUUAAAGAACGUAUUGAAGCCCAUGCUUAAUUCUCUUCCUGCCAUGUAUAAUUGCUGGCCUGGAUAGGCAUAGAGUUAAGUAUUUGAUUAAAUAAGGCGGAGCUAUUGGGAA